GUGCACCAGGCGAGAAAACUUUACAAUGCGGGAAACCGUGAUAAGGGAAUCUCGAGUGCCAGCAUAUAAUGUUGGCUGUCCAGAUGCCUAAAAAGCAUCUGUUAGCAAGGGCCGGGCAAGACCGGUGCCAGCCGCCGCGGUAACACCGGCGGCCCGAGUGGUAACCGUUUUUAUUGGGUCUAAAGGGUCUGUAGCCGGCCAUGUAAGUCCCUUGGGAAAUCUGGCAGCUCAACUGUCAGGCUGCUAGGGGAUACUGCUUGGCUUGGGACCGGGAGAGGUGAGAGGUACCUUGAGGGUAGGGGUGAAAUCUUGUGAUCCUCGGGGGACCACCAGUGGCGAAGGCGUCUCACCAGAACGGGUCCGACGGUAAGGGACGAAAGCUAGGGGCACGAACCGGAUUAGAUACCCUCGUAGUCC
rnacentral:rRNA from 1 species